CCGCGCGGCCCGGCGCCCACCGGGGCCACGGGCGCCACCUCCGGGGCUGCAGGCACCCACCCCGAGGUAACGGGGCGCCCCCUCAGAGGCUCGGGGCGCCCACCCCGGUGGCUCGGGGCGCCCACCCCGGAGAUUGGAGCACCCAGCACGCGCGAACCGGGCGCCCAGCCCCGGGGCCGCUGCCCACCUCGGGCUCAGGGCGAGGGCGAGCGGCCGGCGCCCCGAGGCUCUCUGGCCUCGCGGAGGCGCCUCCCGAGGGUCUCGCGGUCCCGGGCGGACGGGAGGCGACGCUGGGGUCUCCCCAGCCCCAACUCCCCCGAGGUCGUCGCGUGCCGGGCCCCGCCACGUCCUCGCAGGGUCCCGGCUGAGGCCUGCGGCGCCGGGAGGAAGCGCACGGCGGGCAGGGGCGGCCGGGCCGUGACAGCCGCCGUGCGGCCCGGGGCAGCUCCUGAAGGGGGCAGCCCAGACUCACCACCCUCGCCCGCGGCUGCCUCCUCCCGGGCUCGGCGCUGCCCCCUACAGGCCGCGGGGACCCUCCCCGGCCGCCCCCCGACCCACCGCGAGCCGCCCGGGCGUCCGCUCCAGGUCGCCGCCGUCGCGGCUGCUCUCGCCGAGGCCGGGUCAUCGGGCCGCGGAACCUCGCUGCGGAGCGGACGGCGACGGGCGGCGGCCGCCGGUCCUGGAUACCCGCCACCCUCCAGAGCUGCGGCAACUGCCAAUCACCCGCCCGGCGCCCCGAGGGGCAACUACCAAGCAGGCCGUGGGGCCCGGAGUGAAGGUCCCGGGGCUCGGCCGCUGCGCCUGCCUCCGAACCCCCGCCUGGUUCGCGGGACUCGCUCCCCUCCCACACAGCUCGGGGAAAGGCCAUUCGGACGUUCCCCUCUGGGCUUCCCCAGGGGGCCAGACCCAUGUCACGUACAGAAACCAAUUCCGUUCCCUUGGGCUCCUGAACUGGGUGAACUGAUUCAACUGGUAGCAAGGAUGCUGGGACAGGGUGGGGGGGUGAGGAGCAGAGGAUCUCGGCAGAGCCUAUUUUGUGCCCUCUGA
rnacentral:lncRNA from 1 species